AGAAAGGCAUGGACACUUCUGAAAUCAAGUAUUUUCAAUAAGUUACAGCUAUCAGGAAAAGGCAAGAAGCUUGACAUAGCAUCGAUGAGCCCAAGUCAACUAUAUGAACAAAACAAUGUCUCAGGAGGGGCAGGGUAUCACGUCAGAAGAAUCCUGAGUCCUUAGAUGACCUUGUAGAAAAGAGCCACAAACUUACUCUGGGCUACCUUCAUACCUCUGAACUAUUAUGCAGAGAGAAAUAAAUGUAUUCAAAUCACUGUUUUUUGGGUUUCUUCAUUCAUGUAGCUUAGCCUAUAACCUAAGUAA
rnacentral:lncRNA from 1 species